ACGCACGCUGGCGGCGUGCUUAACACCUUCAAGUCGAACGGAAAGGCCCUGCUUUUGUGGGGUGCUCGAGUGGCGAACGGGUGAGUAACACGUGAGUAACCUGCCCUUGACUUUGGGAUAACUUCAGGAAACUGGGGCUAAUACCGGAUAGGAGCUCCUGCUGCAUGGUGGGGGUUGGAAAGUUUCGGCGGUUGGGGAUGGACUCGCGGCUUAUCAGCUUGUUGGGGGGGUAGUGGCUUACCAAGGCUUUGACGGGUAGCCGGCCUGAGAGGGUGACCGGCCACAUUGGGACUGAGCUACGGCCCAGACUCCUACGGGAGGCAGCAGUGGGGAAUAUUGCACAAUGGGCGGAAGCCUGAUGCAGCAACGCCGCGUGCGGGAUGACGGCCUUCGGGUUGUAAACCGCUUUCGCCUGUGACGAAGCGUGAGUGACGGUAAUGGGUAAAGAAGCACCGGCUAACUACGUG
rnacentral:rRNA from 1 species